UUCAAAGCCAUACUUGUAAUACUUCUGAAAUAAAGUGGGGUGGUACGAAAAACUUAACCAAGGUGUGACGCCAACGCUAACGCCGACGCCGACGCCGACGCCGGGGCGAGUAGGAUAGCUCCCCUUUUCAUAGAAAAGUCGAGCUAAAAACGAUAUUACACUAGACAAUAUUACACUAGUGUAAUAACACUUUGACGUCACGUCAUUUGCGCUAUAAACAUAGCGUUAAAAGCGCGCUAAUGUCAGCGUUACACUAUAGGCGCGUCAAGGAAAAAUGACUCUUUUUAACAAUUUACCGUUCUUAUUUUAUAUAUGUGAUAAAUAGAAUAUUUCAUUCGUGUAGAUCAUGUAGAUUCAAUACUAAAUUUAUUGAACUCGUUGAAUAAAACAAUAUUAUGCUCGCCAGAGGCUCGCAUAAUAUGAUUUUGUUCAACUCGUUCAAUAAAUUUAGUAUUAAACCUACACUCAUUCAAUAUCCUCUAUAUAUACAGCAACAGGUGCAGAAAAUGAACAAGUUAGAAAAAUUAAUGGAGAGAAUUCUGGAAAUACUGGAGCUAGUGUUAUAAAUCUUUUCACAAUUGUGACAUAGUUGUUGAUAACAAACAUAUUUUGAAGUCUGAAUUUAAUUAAAGUAAGAUCAUUCAAAAUAUUGAUGCCAGAGUUUUGACAGUGUCCACAGAGAAAACCUGUUUCAUAUAAUCAUGCCAAUAUAAACACCAACUCAAUUAUUCCACAAGCAAAAACCAUUACAGUUAUAUUUUUUCUAGUAUUAACAUUUCACCAAACAUCAUAAUAAUAGAAUAAGCAUUUUGAUUGGGCCAUCCUUAAAAAAUUGUUUAUUUGCAGUAACACUACCAACUAACAAAAUUUGCCCCGAAUCAAAACUUUUUUUAUUGUCUGGAGAAUUUUUUUUUGUCGCCAAAAUUAAGCCUUGUGCUUUCUUUUCGUUCUUUUAAAGACAGGGCUCACGCUGGCAGGAGCCAAUGAGGACAUUGGCUGCAAAAUUAUUAAAUUGGCUCAGGAAAAUCACAAUUUAGCUCAAACUUACGAAAAGUAUGACUUUUGGAAUCUCAAGUCUAAAUUUAGCAUUUGCUACUUUAAGAAUGGAAAAGUACACAUGUGGUUUUCCAUCUUUAACUUCCGUUUUAAGUUUUACCGCUUCUUAUCUCAAAACACAGCGACACAGACUACUUUUUGUGGGCCAUUGACUGGUUUAUAUUUAUUACUUCCCAUCCGAAUGAAAUAUGGAUAUGAACAGUAACACAGUCUAUAAUACACUGACCUCGCUAUGCAGAUAGUCUUCAAGCAAAAUCUUUGGCAUUAACAAAGCAAGCUGAAGCAACACCAUGGAGUGUGUUUCUGCUGUACCUGUCAUGCCACUGACUUAGAUUUUGUGGGAACCUUGCUGUCCAACUUUACCUGGCAAAUGUUAUAGUUACUGAGCUGAAAGCUUUUUUUAUAAUUACUGACUGUUAAUUAUAUGAGUUAAAUGUGUGAAUGUUAUAGAAAUGUAACUACCAAAAUAAAGUUGGAUGUAG